rnacentral:rRNA from 1 species
CCUACGGGAGGCAGCAGUGAGGAAUAUUGGUCAAUGGACGGAAGUCUGAACCAGCCAUGCCGCGUGCAGGAAGACGGCUCUAUGAGUUGUAAACUGCUUUUGUACAAGGGUAAACCUGAAUACGUGUAUUCAGCUGAACGUACUGUACGAAUAAGGAUCGGCUAACUCCGUGCCAGCAGCCGCGGUAAUACGGAGGAUCCAAGCGUUAUCCGGAUUUAUUGGGUUUAAAGGGUGCGUAGGCGGAUUGAUAAGUUAGAGGUGAAAUGUCCGAGCUUAACUCGGGAACUGCCUCUAAUACUGUUGGUCUAGAGAGUAGAUGCGGUAGGCGGAAUGUAUGGUGUAGCGGUGAAAUGCUUAGAGAUCAUACAGAACACCGAUUGCGAAGGCAGCUUACCAAUCUAUAUCUGACGUUGAGGCACGAAAGCGUGGGGAGCAAACAGGAUUAGAUACCCCAGUAGUC